rnacentral:rRNA from 1 species
GCCAGACUCCUACGGGAGGCAGCAGUGGGGAAUAUUGCACAAUGGGGGAAACCCUGAUGCAGCGACGCCGCGUGAGUGAAGAAGUAUUUCGGUAUGUAAAGCUCUAUCAGCAGGAACGAGACAAGACGGUACCUGACUAAGAAGCCCCGGCUAACUACGUGCCAGCAGCCGCGGUAAUACGUAGGGGGCAAGCGUUAUCCGGAAUCACUGGGUGUAAAGGGAGCGUAGACGGCUGUGCAAGCCUGAAGUGAAAGGCGGGGGCCCAACCCCUGGACUGCUUUGGGAACUGUACGGCUGGAGUGCAGGAGAGGUAAGUGGAAUUCCUAGUGUAGCGGUGAAAUGCGUAGAUAUUAGGAGGAACACCAGUGGCGAAGGCGGCUUACUGGACUGUAACUGACGUUGAGGCUCGAAAGCGUGGGGAGCAAACAGGAUUAGAUACCCUUGUAGG